GACGAACGCUGGCGGCGUGCUUAACACAUGCAAGUCGAACGAUGAUCCAGAGCUUGCUCUGGGGAUUAGUGGCGAACGGGUGAGUAACACGUGAGUAACCUGCCCUUGACUCUGGGAUAAGCGUUGGAAACGACGUCUAAUACCGGAUAUGACUCUCGCCGGCAUCGGCUGGGGGUGGAAAGAAUUUUGGUCAAGGAUGGACUCGCGGCCUAUCAGGUAGUUGGUGAGGUAACGGCUCACCAAGCCGACGACGGGUAGCCGGCCUGAGAGGGAGACCGGCCACACUGGGACUGAGACACGGCCCAGACUCCUACGGGAGGCAGCAGUGGGGAAUAUUGCACAAUGGGCGAAAGCCUGAUGCAGCAACGCCGCGUGAGGGACGACGGCCUUCGGGUUGUAAACCUCUUUUAGUAGGGAAGAAGCGAAAGUGACGGUACCUGCAGAAAAAGCACCGGCUAACUACGUGCCAGCCGCCGUAAUAC
rnacentral:rRNA from 1 species